UUUCCCCUUCCUCUAAAGUGAAGCUUCCCUAUCCUGCUGCUGCAAGCUUCCCAGCUAAUAGAGGCUCUUGAGACACCGUAAAUAGAGAGAAAAUCUGUAGAAAAUGGAGGGAAAAAACCAACGGAGAAUAAAGGACAAACGAAAAAAUCAAAAGAGAUAAUGACACGUGGUGGAGCAUCUAGACUUGGUCGAAAGGGUGGAAGAGAAAGAAAUAUCCCCAGACAACAGCUUCAAGAUGAACAUGAUGGAGAUAGUGGAAGACACCUACAAUGAUCUACUCAUAGACUAUUUGACACACCUCCACCUACUGAGAGACAUGGCUCAUUGUCUGUGGAGGAGCCUUCUGUCAAUCCUUCACCUCAUGUGCCUGAUAGUGUAAGUUCGGUUGAUUCUAUGCGUACAAGAGGUCCAAACCAGUCGGCCCCUGAGCCAACCAUCGAAGCAGAUAAAGUUUUCAUUACAGUGGAAAUAAAUAAAUUCAUCGAGCCUGAGGUGUCACGUCAGAUGAGUGUUUAGCUGAAGCAGUGUUUUAAAGAAGCUUGGCCUUCAUGGGGAAUGGUUGAGCAAACAACCAAGAAUGAGUUAUUGCAU